CCUACGGGAGGCAGCAGUGGGGAAUAUUGCACAAUGGGGGAAACCCUGAUGCAGCGACGCCGCGUGAAGGAUGAAGUAUUUCGGUAUGUAAACUUCUAUCAGCAGGGAAGAAAAUGACGGUACCUGACUAAGAAGCGCCGGCUAACUACGUGCAAGCAGCCGCGGGCAUACGUAGGGGGCACGCGUUAUCCGGAUUUACUGGGUGUAAAGGGAGCGUAGACGGUAUGGCAAGUCUGAUGUGAAAACCCGGGGCUCAACCCCGGGACCGCAUGGGAAACUGCCGAACCAGAGUGUGGGAGAGGCAAGUGGAAUUCCUAGUGGAGCGGUGAAAUGCGUAGAUAUUAGGAGGAACACCAGUGGCGAAGGCGGCUUGCUGGACGAUGACUGACGUUGAGGCGAGAAAGCGUGGGGAGCAAACAGGAAUAGAUACCCUGGUAGGC
rnacentral:rRNA from 1 species